CCAGCAUUCUGGGGAAGAUGGGAUCUUUGGAUUUCUUGAUGGAAUGAGAAAACCAAACCAAAAACUGAACCUCCAUCAUCAUUACAAUGAGGGACUUUGCUUGUUUCGGUGAAAGUAGAGUUCAAAUUGCUGAUGCCUCCUCCUCAUCUUCUUCCUCUUCAUCUAAAAAUGCUCAGAAUCAAGUGACUUGCAUCUAUCAGAGCCAACUCGGGUCUCGUUCUUGCAUAAUCACCAUAACAUGGACCAAGAACUUGGUGGGGCAAGGCCUCAGCAUCUCAAUAGACGAUUCCACAAACCAGUCCCUCGGCAAAUUGGAA